GAAUUCAGUAUCAUGAUAAUAAGAUAAUGCUACAUCGUACCCGUGUGAGUACUUUAAGCUGUGGAAGAUUUCUCACGUACGUUAUCACAGGGUUCUGAGAAGCGGUGAAGCUAAUGUUCUGAAGGAGACAAAGAAGUAUGUUGCUGUGUUCUCAAGACAAAUAUCAAAGACGUUUCAGUACUCAGAGCAGGAAAAGAUUAAUGGCUAGCCUAAAAGACUCCCAUUUGAACUUAGAAGCUUAAUAUUCAGUUGAAAGAGGAAUAAAGCCUAAUAAGAAUGAGUGAUAUUUUGUAGAGGUAAGAUUCAGCAGCUCACUCCAAAUUAAGGAAAUAAGUCAACGUUUCACUGGAAAAAACAAAAUACACAACAGGAUUUUAAAAAAUCAACAAGAAAAUAGAGAAGAGAGCAACUUCAUCCUUCCUAACUGCCCGUAGUUUCCUCUCUCUACCUUCUCAGUCUCAGAUAAAAGAAGAGCAGAGUGAGUGUGACCUUUCAGUACCCAGUCUUCAGGCUGACCCUCUGAAGUUAAGGUAUGAAGAUUACAGAUGGAUGGUCUUGGAAAUGCAAGGACCUACGGAAUACAGCAUCCAUGAAUUCUUCCUGGAAAAAGUACUUAAUGUAGAAAUCCAAUCAAUUAAGAGAUGAAUAAACAUGUAGAAAGAA